UUUAAACCCUCAGUCUGGCCGGGCUUUGCUGGAGACGGGUGGAGGAACUGCCCGUUGUCUCUGAAUUCCCUCCUUGAACAUCUCAGGCUGUGAAAAGCAGGGAGCUCCAGGGCAAAUCGCCAGCAUUUCUCCAUGUCCACUGGAUCUCAGUGAGCAGAUUUUCUGGUCCAAGAGUUGAGCACCUGAGGACAGCUGCAUUUUUGGACUCCUCUAUGUGGAAGAUCAAUACUACAAGUUGCUCUCUGAAAACUGAAUAUAUGAGGAAACAUGGAAGGACGGUAUCACAGAAAACAUUUCAAAGUUCAAAGUAAAUUUAU